CGACCGGCGGACGGGUGCGUAACGCGUAUGCAACCUGCCUGACACAGGGGGAUAAUCCGAAGAAAUUUGGUCUAAUACCCCAUAAUACCGAUAUAGGCAUCUAUGUUGGUUGAAAGCUUUGGUGGUGUCAGAUGGGCAUGCGUUGUAUUAGCUAGUUGGUGAGGUAACGGCUCACCAAGGCGACGAUACAUAGGGGGACUGAGAGGUUAACCCCCCACCACUGGUACUGAGACACGGACCAGACUCCUACGGGAGGCAGCAUG
rnacentral:rRNA from 1 species